UACGUAGGGUGCAAGCGUUAUCCGGAAUUAUUGGGCGUAAAGAGCUUGUAGGCGGUUUGUCGCGUCUGCUGUGAAAAUCCGGGGCUCAACCCCGGACUUGCAGUGGGUACGGGCAGACUAGAGUGUGGUAGGGGAGACUGGAAUUCCUGGUGUAGCGGUGAAAUGCGCAGAUAUCAGGAGGAACACCGAUGGCGAAGGCAGGUCUCUGGGCCACUACUGACGCUGGAGAAGCGGAAAAGCAUGGGGAGCGAACAGG
rnacentral:rRNA from 1 species